UCAGCGGUCGAAAACCUAAGGUUUCCUGAGGAAGGCUCGUCCUCUCAGGGUUAGUCGGGACCUAAGCCGAGGCCGAAAGGCGUAGGUGAUGGACAACUGGUUGAUAUUCCAGUACUACCAACUGACGUUAUCAGAAAUGGGGUGACGCAGGAGGAUAGGAUGUGCACACUGUUGGAUGUGUGUCUAAGCGUUUAGGAGUAGCUGGCAGGCAAAUCCGCCAGCCGAAUCUGAGGCGUGAUGGGGAGCUCGCAUGAGCGAAGUAUCUGAUUCCACGCUGCCAAGAAAAGCCUCUAUCGAGGAAGUUGGUACCCGUACCGCAAACCGACACAGGUAGGUGAGGAGAGAAUCCUAAGACCAUCGGAAGAAUUGCUGUUAAGGAACUCGGCAAAUUGACCCCGUAACUUCGGGAGAAGGGGUGCCACCGAAAGGUGGUCGCAGAGAAUAGGCCCAAGCAACUGUUUAGCAAAAACACAGGUCUCUGCUAAAGCGAAAGCUGAUGUAUAGGGGCUGACGCCUGCCCGGUGCUGGAAGGUUAAGGGGAUCACUUAGCGCAAGCGAAGGUGUGAACUUAAGCCCCAGUAAACGGCGGCCGUAACUAUAACGGUCCUAAGGUAGCGAAAUUCCUUGUCGGGUAAGUUCCGACCCGCACGAAUGGCGUAAUGAUUGGGCACUGUCUCAACAGCAAAUCCGGCGAAAUUGUAGUGCAAGUGAAGAUGCUUGCUACCGCGAUUGGACGGAAGACCCCGUAGAGCUUACUGUAGCUUAGCAUUGAAUUCGUAUUGUCUGU
rnacentral:ncRNA from 1 species